AGAUGCAGGAAAAAUCAAAGAUAGACAAAAAUGCUGGUGAAUCUCAGUGGGUGCGGUAGCAUCCAUGGAGCAAAUGAAAUAGUCAACGUUUCGAUGCCGAAACCCUUCUUCAGACCUGAAGAAGGGUUUUGGCCCGAAACGUUGCCUA